GACUACAGGGGUAUCUAAUCCCAUUCGCUACCCACGCUUUCGCUGCUCAGUGUCAGGAGUGUGCCAAUCUAAUGCCUUCGCCUUUGGUGUUCCUCAUGAUAUCAACGCAUUUCACUGCUACACCAUGAGUUCCAUAGAUCUCUCACACCCUCUAGUUAUACCGUUUCAAAUGCAGUUUUCGAGUUGAGCUCGAAGAUUUGACAUCUGACUAAUAUAACAACCUACCAGCUCUUUACGCCCAAUAAAUCCGGAUAACGCUUGAGGUCUCUGUAUUACCGCUACUGCUGGCACAGAGUUAGUAACCUCUUAUUCGUAAGGUACCGUCAUCGAAAUUCUUCCCUUACAAAAGCAGUUUACAACCCAAGGGCCUUCAUCCUGCACGCGGCGUCGCUCCAUCAGACUUUCGUCCAUUGUGGAAUAUUCUCGACUGCAGCCCCCCGUAGG
rnacentral:rRNA from 1 species